AUACGUAGGGUGCAAGCGUUAAUCGGAAUUACUGGGCGUAAAGCGUGCGCAGGCGGUUUUGUAAGACAGAGGUGAAAUCCCCGGGGUCAACCUGGGAACUGCCAUUGUGACUGCAAGGCUGGAGGGCGGCAGAGGGGGAUGGAAUUCCGCGUGUAGCAGUGAAAUGCGUAGAUAUGCGGAGGAACACCGAUGGCGAAGGCAAUCCCCUGGGCCUGCACUGACGCUCAUGCACGAAAGCGUGGGGAGCAAACAGGAUUAGAUACCCUGGUAGUCCACGCCCUAAACGAUGUCAACUGGUUGUUGGGGAUUUAUUUUCUCAGUAACGAAGCUAACGCGUGAAGUUGACCGCCUGGGGAGUACGGCCGCAAGGUUAAAACUCAAAUGAAUUGACGGGG
rnacentral:rRNA from 1 species